UUCUGAUCAGCUGUUAUAUGCAUGUUUUGUUCUGUGUCAGAGGUCUCCAUACGGACCCAGACGCACCUUGGUGACACGGCACACGUUCAGACAAGUAGAGGUGUGCAAAUGAGUGGGCACGUGGAGGAAAAGGAUACUUGGAGCAAGGCGAGGGCAGGGCUGAGGAGAUACUAUGUGGGAAUGCGUAAAGAUAAAAUGAAAAGAACAACUUUGCCAUCUUCAGUGAACAACAACAAACAUGAAUAUUGAAAAAGAGCAAGGUGGAAUUGGUGCCAGGUUUGGUGGACCGCAGAGCAGAGACCAAGGCAAAAGGUAGUAAAAAGGUAUUUAAUCACAACAAAGGGCGCUCACAAGGGAGGAAAAACAAAGUACAACAAAAGACGCUGGUGACAGAAGGUCACCGUGAAACCAAAAGUACAAACCAAAAGAGUACAAAGUAGCAAACAAGGAAAUCUGGCGUAGCUCAACUACUUACAGGCAGUAGGCAGCAAAAAUACAAGUUACUAGGAAACUAGGCAAAAGGUCAGGAGCAGAAGUGUGCAGUAUGCAGGCUGGACGAAGCAUGACGAGGUGACCAUUUGACAGGGGAACAAUGGAAGUGGAGAGGCAUAUGAAGGCCUGAUGGCUGAUGGGUAACUAGGGGAACAGGCAGGAGUCUGCUGCAGGAUGGAGAAGAGACAAUAGGGGGCAGCAGACCAAAAGAAGUGCAGAUCAUGACAGUUUUUACACUGAAUCACUAAAUCACAGUUGUCAAAACUUUUUCCACUGAGGGCCACUUUGAUACACUUUGUAUGUUAAAGAUGCUAAAUGUAGCUCAAUAUGUAUUUGAAGAAUAUAUGUGCAGUUUGCCUUUAACACUCAUAUUACCCAAUAUAGUGUGUACUUAUAUACACAGGAGGUGUUGCACUAAUUAUGAGCAGUAGCGGGUACACGGUGACGUUCUUAGCGUUCCACAUCAACAUGACAACACAAACACAUCAGGUAUCACUUAAAUUAAACAGAAAUUUGUGUAAUUAUAACAUGAACAUAUAUACAAUAUUUACAAUAACAUUAUAACCCUGUUACAUAUAGACUACUCGUACUUCCUGCGGUGGUUAUUGUCAUAUCACUGUAACAUUACGGACCCCUAGUGACCAGUAUAGAAAGCUACAUAACAAAAUACGCACCUUUCAUUUUUGUGCGUAUGUUUUGACAAAUAACAGACAUAGUCAACCAUGAAACAAUGAUGAUUUGGAAAAUGGUCCCCAGGCCACACUUUGGACAUCCUGUGUACUACAUAUAUAUUAUACUGACUUGUCAUAUACUUUUGAAGUUUUGCAUUUUAUUAAUAUGAGUUGAUUUGCUCUUUAGCGCUCUCCAGACAAAUCUUUAGGUACAUUUGCAGCUAAACAGCUCAUUUAAUCCCCAAUAGUGAAUACUCCACUGACAAGGUCAGUCAAAUACCGCUCUGAUAUUGGAGUACAUUUAUCUAAUGAAGUGGCUAGUGAGUGUCUGUUAGUACCAUGGAAGUUGUUUAGUUUAGUUACCUACUGCUGAUAAAAGUCCACUUUGGGAAAAAAAAUAAACAUCAUAAAAGGCGCCUAAGCUGAGAAAUGACAUAAUCGCAUUUGCAGGCGCUGCUACUCAAGUGGUUCAGAGGAGGUUGAAUGCUAUUUAGCAGCAUUUGUCAACGUGAUGAGAGGUCUGGCGAACAGCGCUUUGAUGUGGGGGUAUUUACUGCAAGAUGUGGGAGGCAGGCUCAUCUAUGUUCAAACUGCUGGAUCUGUCAAAAACAGUGACCAGUUACUUGUCAAAACAUGCCUAGAAUUCACUCAACAUACGGACAAAAAACACCUGUACUUUACAAAUGUUUAACCUGAUUUCAACCUAAAGGUUCUCCAAAAUGUGCCUAAUAAUGGAAUAUAAUUGAUGUGUUCUUUGUAGUUGUUUGACUACAUUAUAAGCCUAAGUAUUAGAAUCUUACGUACCUUUUCCAGGGCCAAAAAUGUACAUGUGUGUUAUUAAGUUGUAAAAGUGAAGGGUACAAUGUAGAGAUACUAGAUAGCCGAUAUUGCCCAGCAGGUAUUCCCUCAAACUCAUGUCAUGUAAUGACCACAUUAUGCUUUGUUGACUGUGACGCAACUCGAUGCAUUUCAAAAAUAAACAAAAAAAGACAAAAAGUAAUAUAACAUGUCCACAUACUAUGAAGAAGUAGCACUGGGACACACUGACAGCAGCACACACAAGCACGGUCUUAUUUAUGUCUACUGUCUACUGAUUUGGGUAAUAGGAGUGUAAAGCUGACAACGAUGAAUAAAUUAAUUCAUGUCUAGAAGGCUCUAACAAUGUCAAAAAUUAUAUGUAAAAGGUUAAUAGGUCAUGUUUACGUGUUUAUGUCAAGGAUAUAAACAGAUUCCUAUGCUCUAACUAUGAAAAUAUUCCGCUUAGAAAUAAGGAAUCCUACGUCACAGAAAUUCACUUGUCACAGUUGGGUCUUGAACCAGUUAACCACGAUAAAAGAGGGAUUACUGUAUUCCACAAAAAAAAUAAAAAUGAUACACUGUAGCACCACUGGAAAUGCACUCCCAGCAUGCCUUGCAGUUCUUGUUUAGUAAAAACUUGUCAGUGUUAUUUAUUAUUACAAUCAUUGUCAUUAUUGACACAAAAGAAACAAUACCGAAAUGAAUCAAUAUGUCAUUUUUAUGCUAAUAUUGGCAGAUAAUCUUGCUGGUCGAUGUUAUCGAACAUCCCUAGUACAAAGUUUGAGGGAAUAAUGGCGACUUAACUGCGGAGAAUACAUGCAGUAAAUGUCUACACAGCCGCCAGGUAUUUAAUGUACACAGCCAGGUGUUGAGUAAAGUGGUUUGUGUUCCCUGAGUUUCGACAGUAUCUCCCUGGAAGCAUAGCUGGAAAAAAAGUUAAUAGAGCAUAAAGUAGGUAUUAAUGUAGUUGUGUAAUACAUGAUAUCAGUUGGGUCCAUAAUCAUUGUCCUAUGAGUGAUAACAGCCACUUCAUUUAGUUCCGCAUUGAGUUUGAUAGGGCUCAUUCACUGUGAUCCUCAAAUGACAUCAUAUUAUAUGGAACAUGCGGACUCGUCUCGGGCGUGACAGCACUGGGGUGUGAAAUCAUGUCCCCCUUCAUCAAAAGAGUUACGAUCAGUCAAGUUAGGCUCGUAACAAAUAGCCGGCUUUGCGCUUUUAUCAGCAAUGCCGUGACCCUCAAUACUGUGACCUCAUCAUUAAUAUGGGAAGGCCGGAUGAUAGAUCAAAAGCAUGGUUCAGUGGAGCAUCCCUGGGCCAGAGCUGGCCUUGAAUCGUUCAUCACACCAUCCCUGUGGGGACUUUAUGACAGUCCGGGGUGAGAGAGGACGCUCUUGAGACUGUCAAAUUUGUUUUACUGCGUUUGAUAAUGGAUACUUUAAAAAAGAUGAUGUGCACAAAGGAAUUUCUGUGCUACAGUGACAUUCUCUCAUGUUAAUACAGCUGGACUUUUAUCCAGUUUAGGUCAGCCAUGAGUCAGUUAUGAAACAUUUAUCAAACAGCUUGGGUUGUCAUAUGAAAAACACUGAAAGGAACAGACAAUGAGGGCACUUAUACCUAAGUAAUAAUGAUUCUCUCACUCCUGUUCUCUACAGUCAUUAAAUACAGUAUAUACUCACUCAACAGAGUUGCACUCAAAGAUCUAAAACGUUUUCUACAUAGGUAAAAUUUUUCUCCAAUAUUGUUCACAAUUCUGUCUACAUCUGUCUCCUUUGCUGAAGUAAUCCAUCUACCUCACAGUUGUGGAAUAUGAAGAUGCUGUUUAGAGAGCAUGAUUAUUACACUGGUGUGGCUGAAGCUGGAUACAAUAAAAGGCCACUCCAAAAUGUGCAAUUUUACGAUAUUGCAAGUGGGGGUUAUCAGAAAACAAAUCAGUGUUUGGUAUGACUACCAUUUGCCUUAGGCAACACAUAUAGUUGAUUAGGUUGUUGAUUGUGUCCUGUAGAAUGUUGGUCCACUUUUUUCAGUGCAAAGUUGCUGGAUAUUGGCUGGAACUGGAACACAUCCCAAACGUGCUCAAUUGGCAAAACAUCUAGUGUGUAAGAACUGUGUAAAGCAGGUGUCGUCAACCCUUCGAUCGGCUAGUUGAUCUUUGGGACUUUUCUUGGUGUCGCAUUGGAGACAUGUACCUCCAAUGCGACACAGAAUGCGACACAGAUUGCUUAGGUUGACUGGAACCCAGACAAAAUGAAACAUAUCACACUGGGCGGCUAGUUCUGGAUCUUAGACUCAAAAGGGUUGGUGACCACUGGUGUACAGGUCCUUGCAAAAUGGGGGCGUGUAUGAACGUUAAAACAGCCCUCGGGAUCUUGUCAAAGUAUCUCUCUAAAUAGGUCAUAAAUUCGACUUUUUAUGGCUGUAUCAAGUACUAUCAAUCGCAUUUCCUGUCAAAAUGAGACCUGGGAUUCACUGUUGACCGGUCCAUGUCAGACACUUAUAAAUGGGGAUUAAUCACAAGUAAUUCAUUUCUAAACUGUGGUUAAUCUGACUAAACAUUUUAGCCAUUUGGCAACCCUAGUUAUUUCCCAUCAACGCUUGUACGGUCUAAUCUAACCCAUUAGAAACGUUUUGAUUGAUAUUGCCAGAGAGAUAUUAAUCCAAAUUUUCUCGCUUUGUUUGUGAUUACCUGCAGUGCAACUAUAGCAGUUGUACACAUUCUUCUGUCUAUGUAUAAACACUCGCCUAAUUAGCCACAAGCAGAUACACGGUGGUCAGGGGAGGGGGUGUUUAAAUCAACCUGAGACUUUUUGUCACGCUUAUAACACCAUCAAUUUUAUUAGCAUCAGGAGAGCUCAGAGGAACUGGAAGUGUCAUACAUAAAUAUCUGCAGUUACUGUGCUUGCUCAUACAUUUGAUUGGUGUGUCAAGUCUAUAUUUGUCACCAUUAAAAAUGUCAUAUGCUAAAGGGAGAUCUACAGAGAUCAAUAAAAGUCAAACGAAUAAUAUUUUGAGAAUUCUACAACAGGGAGACAACACAGAGAAGAAACAGUGACAUCAUUCAGUGAAUUAAUCACAUGUCUCCCAGCAGCUUUUUUACGAUCUUAAUUAUAUGCUUUGUUAAGGUUGAAUUGUAGUACUUUUGACCUAUUUGUGAUCAUUUGUGCUUUGAGAAUUUCAUUCAUUCAUUGAUUCAUAU